CAUGUCCUUUUGAUNAUAAUUUAAGGUCUNACCUGCCCANUGANNNAUUNAAUGGCCGCGGUAUUUUGACCGUGCAAAGGUAGCAUAAUCAUUAGUUUUUUAAUUGGAAGCUGGAAUGAAUGGUUGGAUGAGGAAAUUACUGUCUCAAAUUUAUUUAUUUAGAAUUUUAUUUUUAAGUUAAAAAGCUUAAAUAUUUUUAAAAGACGAGAAGACCCUAUAGAAUUUUACAUUUUAUAAUUUAUUAUUAAAGGUUUAAGGUUAUUUUAAGUUUGAAUAAUGUUUUGUUGGGGUGACAGAAAAAUUUAUUAAACUUUUUUUUUAUUUUUUCACUAAUGAGUGUUUUUAUGAUCCAAUUUUUUUGAUUAAAAGAAUAAAUUACCUUAGGGAUAACAGCGUAAUUUUUUUUGAGAGUUCUUAUCGAAAAAGAAGAUUGCGACCUCGAUGUUGGAUUAAAGUUAAAUUUUGGUGCAGAAGCUUAAAAUUUAGGUCUGUUCGACCUUUAAAACUUUACAUGAUCUGAGUU
rnacentral:rRNA from 1 species